rnacentral:lncRNA from 1 species
AAAGGCUUGGAAAAGUCAGAUCAUGGGUCGAAGAGGUCAAGAAUCAGGCUUCUCGUGCUUGAAUGUGCUGGAGCAUGGCCGGAGAAGCCAUGGAUCCAAUGAUAUGAAAAGGUCUAAAAGAGAACCAUCGAAGUCGAACUUCAAAACCUUGAACACCCAAGGUCUAAUGGUGGAUGGGGGUGAGUAUAGACCAUCCAUGGCCUGAGAAGCCAUGGAUUCCUGUGAAAGUAUGGUGAGAAAAUGUAGGAGGAGGUUAGGGUUCCGAAGAACCUUGGGAGUGAAUUGGGAUAAAGAGCAUUCAAGGGC